GACGAACGCUGGCGGCGUGCUUAACACAUGCAAGUCGAACGCUGAAGAUCUGGCUUUUGUUGGGUUGGAUGAGUGGCGAACGGGUGAGUAACACGUGAGUAACCUGCCCUCUUCUUUGGGAUAACGCCCGGAAACGGGUGCUAAUACUGGAUAUUCACUGAUCUUCGCAUGGGGGUUGGUGGAAAGGUUUGUUCUGGUGGGGGAUGGGCUCGCGGCCUAUCAGCUUGUUGGUGGGGUGAUGGCCUACCAAGGCUUUGACGGGUAGCCGGCCUGAGAGGGUGACCGGUCACAUUGGGACUGAGAUACGGCCCAGACUCCUACGGGAGGCAGCAGUGGGGAAUAUUGCACAAUGGGCGAAAGCCUGAUGCAGCGACGCCGCGUGAGGGAUGGAGGCCUUCGGGUUGUAAACCUCUUUCGCUCAUGGUCAAGCCGCAACUGUGGGUUGUGGUGAGGGUAGUGGGUAAAGAAGCGCCGGCUAACUACGUG
rnacentral:rRNA from 1 species